rnacentral:tRNA from 1 species
GCCGCAGUAGGAUAAUCCGGUAAUCCGGGAAACUAAGACCUUCCUGUCCGAAAGGACUUCUGGGUUCAAAUCGCGGAAAGGAUUAAGCCUUUUUGGGUGAGACUCCCAGCUGCGGCG